UACGUAGGGUGCAAGCGUUGUCCGGAAUUAUUGGGCGUAAAGAGCUCGUAGGCGGUCUGUCGCGUCGGCUGUGAAAUCCCGAGGCUCAACCUCGGGUCUGCAGUCGAUACGGGGCAAACUGGAGUACUGCAGGGGGAGACUGGAAUUCCUGGUGUAGCGGUGAAAAUGCGCAGAUAUCAGGAGGAACACCGGUGGCGAAGGCGGGGUCUCUGGGGCAGUAACUGACGUGAGGAGCGAAAAGCGUGGGGG
rnacentral:rRNA from 1 species